rnacentral:rRNA from 1 species
UGAGGAAUAUUGGACAAUGGUCGAAAGACUGAUCCAGCCAUGCCGCGUGCAGGAUGAAUGCCCUAUGGGUUGUAAACUGCUUUUAUACGGGAAGAACACCACCCACGUGUGGGUGACUGACGGUACCGUAAGAAUAAGGACCGGCUAACUCCGUGCCAGCAGCCGCGGUAAUACGGAGGGUCCAAGCGUUAUCCGGAAUCAUUGGGUUUAAAGGGUCCGUAGGCGGGCUAUUAAGUCAGAGGUGAAAGUUUGCAGCUCAACUGUAAAAUUGCCUUUGAUACUGGUAGUCUUGAGUUAUAGUGAAGUGGUUAGAAUAUGUGGUGUAGCGGUGAAAUGCAUAGAUAUCACAUAGAAUACCAAUUGCGAAGGCAGAUCACUAACUAUAUACUGACGCUGAUGGACGAAAGCGUGGGGAGCGAACGGGAUUAGAUACCCCGGUAGUCCACGCCGUAAACGAUGGAUACUAGCUGUUGGAUUUUUUCAGUGGCUAAGCGAAAGUGAUAAGUAUCCCACCUGGGGAGUACGUUCGCAAGAAUG